rnacentral:rRNA from 1 species
CCUACGGUGUGCAGCAGUGAGGAAUAUUGGUCAAUGGGCGCGAGACUGAACCAGCCAAGUCGCGUGAGGGAAGACGGUCCUAUGGAUUGUAAACUUCUUUUGUCGGGGAGCAAAAGACGCCCCGCGUGGCGUUCCGAGAGUACCCGAAGAAAAAGCAUCGGCUAACUCCGUGCCAGCAGCCGCGGUAAUACGGAGGAUGCGAGCGUUAUCCGGAUUUAUUGGGUUUAAAGGGUGCGCAGGCGGAAGAUCAAGUCAGUGGUAAAAUUGGGAGGCUCAACCUCUUCGAGGCGGUGAAACUGGUUGUCUUGAGUGAACGAGAAGUAUGCGGAAUGCGUGGUGUAGCGGUGAAAUGCAUAGAGAUCACACAGAACUCCGAUUGCGAAGGCAGCAUACCGGCGCUCAACUGACGCUCAUGCACGAAAGUGUGGGUAUCGAACAGGAUUAGAUACCCUUGUAGUC